AGCAUAUGUUUUUUCCGUUAAAGUGUCGUGAGUGGAUGGGUAAUCUGUGCUCUUUGCAUUGCUGAAUGGUGUUCAGCUUCGGUCUGUUCUACGUUUUUGGAAGAUGGUAACUGUAGGUGGUAGUGGUCAGUGCUUCUCCAUGUUCCUAGCUCAUCCUAUUUCACAUAGGGUUCUAGGUUUGGGACUGAUGUUGUGAGCUUGGGUUGCAACUUGGUUGGGUUGAAUUGAGUGUUUUGUUGGGUGGGUUGCCCUAAUUCUUUGCGAGCUUCCUUUUCU
rnacentral:misc_RNA from 1 species